UACGGAGGGUGCAAGCGUUAUCCGGAUUUACUGGGUUUAAAGGGUGCGUAGGUGGGUUGGUAAAUCAGUGGUGAAAUCUUCGAGCUUAACUCGGAAACUGCCAUUGGUACUAUCAAUCUUGAAUUAUCUGGAGGUAAGCGGAAUAUGUCAUGUAGCGGUGAAAUGCUUAGAUAUGACAUAGAACACCCAUUGCGAAGGCAGCUUACUACGGAUAUAUUGACACUGAGGCACGAAAGCGUGGGGAUCAAACAGG
rnacentral:rRNA from 1 species